GACGAACGCUGGCGGCGUGCUUAACACAUGCAAGUCGAACGGAAAGGCCCUGCUUUUGUGGGGUGCUCGAGUGGCGAACGGGUGAGUAACACGUGAGUAACCUGCCCUUGACUUUGGGAUAACUUCAGGAAACUGGGGCUAAUACCGGAUAGGAGCUCCUGCUGCAUGGUGGGGGUUGGAAAGUUUCGGCGGUUGGGGAUGGACUCGCGGCUUAUCAGCUUGUUGGUGGGGUAGUGGCUUACCAAGGCUUUGACGGGUAGCCGGCCUGAGAGGGUGACCGGCCACAUUGGGACUGAGAUACGGCCCAGACUCCUACGGGAGGCAGCAGUGGGGAAUAUUGCACAAUGGGCUGAAGCCUGAUGCAGCAACGCCGCGUGCGGGAUGACGGCCUUCGGGUUGUAAACCGCUUUCGCCUGUGACGAAGCGUGAGUGACGGUAAUGGGUAAAGGAGCAACGGCUAACUACGUG
rnacentral:rRNA from 1 species